GUGCUCGCUUCGACAGCACAUAUACUAAAAUUGUUGAACGAUACAGAGAAGAUUAGCAUGGCCCCUGCAGAUGACCAGUUGUGAGUUUAUUUU
rnacentral:snRNA from 1 species